GAAAUACUCCCUCCGUCCCAAAAUACUUGUCACUAAAAUGGAUGUAUCUAGAACUAAAAUACAUCUAGAUACAUCCAUACGUGCGACAAGUAAUUCGGAAUGGAGGGAGUAGUAU
rnacentral:pre_miRNA from 1 species